rnacentral:lncRNA from 1 species
GUUAAUCGAAAUUAAUGGAAUCGGUGUACCUUACUUAAAUCAGUGAACCUUGAAUCGAUCAUUCAUUUGCAAUUGAUCCAGUAAACAACUUUAUACAGUAAGUGAUCCAGUAAACAACUUUAUACAGUAAGUGAUCCAGUAAACAACUUUAUAUCUACAAACAAACAACAAUUUGUUUGUAGAUACAACAGUAAGUGAUCCAGUAAACGACCGUACAAUACUUUCUCAGAUCCAGCAAGAUCAGAGCCGUCGACAGAUUCUUCAACCAUUCUUCUCCGAAAAAGUUCUUCAGCGGCGGUGUAAAGAUGUAGGUCUAGGGCUUCUUCUGUUUGACCCAUUUUUGCAUCCAUCAAGGGUAGAUUAAGGAGAACCAGCCAUGACUUUUGUCCCUAACCAACAAACCCUAGAAACACUUUAUAGACAUGAAUCAAAAAACAAACUCUCAGUAAAUUCAAACUUCUAAUCUCGUUUCGACCUAAAGCCUACUGAAAACAUAAGGGGGGAUGAUUACCUGUCACUGGAAACCGGAUCUGUGACGGUGGAAGUAGAUCGGAUUACAAUGGACGGUUGAG